UACGAAGGGGGCUAGCGUUGUUCGGAAUUACUGGGCGUAAAGGGCGCGUAGGCGGUGUGUCAAGUCAGGCGUGAAAGCCCCGGGCUCAACCUGGGAACAGCGCUUGAGACUGGCACGCUCGAGUUCGGGAGAGGAUGGUGGAAUUCCCAGUGUAGAGGUGAAAUUCGUAGAUAUUGGGAAGAACACCGAUGGCGAAGGCAGCCAUCUGGACCGACACUGACGCUGAG
rnacentral:rRNA from 1 species